CAGUAGCCGCGGGAAUACGGAGGGGGCUAGCGUUGUUCGGAAUUACUGGGCGUAAAGCGCACGUAGGCGGCUUGGUAAGUUAGAGGUGAAAGCCUGGAGCUCAACUCCAGAAUUGCCUUUAAGACUGCCGAGCUAGCAGGUGAGAGAGGUAAGUGGAAUUCCGAGUGUAGAGGUGAAAUUCGUAGAUAUUCGGAAGAACACCAGUGGCGAAGGCGGCUUACUGGCUCAUACUGGACGCUGAGGUGCGAAAGCGUGGGGAGCAAACAGGAUUAGAUACCCCCGUAGUCCCUGUCUCUUAUAA
rnacentral:rRNA from 1 species